rnacentral:pre_miRNA from 1 species
GUGUUUCCUAGAGUUCCCUUGACCACUUCAUGAGGGCUUACUUCAUUGUUUGAGGCCCUGAUGAAGUGUUUAGGGGAACUUUGGGACUCAC